UGAGUAUGUUGGGCGGAGGCAGCUUGGAUGGUGACACAUGCUGCUGUGUCUGGAUUGCACUGCUUCUUAUGCUCCUCUGUUGGGAUGCUGGCAUGUGCUGCAGGGAGGGCCAGGCGUUUUGAUACAGAGACAUCUCUAAUCCCAACAUAGGGUGCCCACGGGAGCUACCAGAGCAAACUGCAGUACAGUCUGAUAAGAAGUGGAACGCUGGGAUGAGGCUGCACGUCUGCUUCAGCGGUCUGAAGGACGAAUCUGGAGAGUUGCAAAUAUUUACAAGUGGAAUUGUCGUCGAUGCUGGCAUGCUGGGCCUGAGACCCUCGGUGGAGCCUUCUGAAGGGUGUCUUCGUCCCAUUGCUGGAGCCUAUGGCUGACUCACGUCAUGUGGGAGUUUGGCUUGAUCCCUACCCCGCCUUGUUCCUGGCAGUGGAAGUCCUUCCCGGAUUGUGCUGGGCGUGGCUGAACUGUGCACUGAGAAUGUGAAGGGGAGUGCAAGGGCCGCGUGGGGCGGCCGUGCGUUUCCAGUCCUCCACACUCCAGGAGCAGAGCCGCGAAGGCUCCCCUGAACGAACUACGAAAACGAGGCUGCAUGAAACUUGGCAGGA
rnacentral:lncRNA from 1 species